GUUUAAACUCUUCCUGCGCCCAGUUCUUCUUGAAAGUCAGUCCAUCCGACAGCAGGACUUACACGUGGACAUGGUUCUCUUACAAGGACCGGGAGAAAAAAGGACAAAGAGACAUCGGCAUUCACGUCAUAGCAACAUCUAACACUACUGAUUACAAAGUUGUAAUAAUACUUUCCUCAGUCGGCGUGGUUGUUGUAGGAAGCAGUGUGGCUGUUUGUAUCUUCUGGAUACGGACUAAAUAUAAAGCAGAUGUCAACGUCGAUGACAACGAGGACUAUUCGAGCGAGUUUGACUGUGUGUCAGACGAUUUUGUGAAUAUAGAGAAUG